GCGGUUGUAGUUUAACGGUAGAACGUACGGUUGUGGUCCGUAAAACGAGAGUUCGACUCUCUCCUUCCGCU
rnacentral:tRNA from 1 species